UGGCGGACGGGUGAGUAACGCGUGGAAAACCUGCCGUAUACUGGGGGAUAACACUUAGAAAUAGGUGCUAAUACCGCAUAAGCGCACAGCUUCGCAUGAAGCGGUGUGAAAAACUCUGGUGGUAUACGAUGGUUCCGCGUCUGAUUAGCUAGUUGGUGGGGUAAUGGCCUACCAAGGCAACGAUCAGUAGCCGGCCUGAGAGGGUGAACGGCCACAUUGGGACUGAGANACGGCCCAAACUCCUACGGAAGGCAGCAG
rnacentral:rRNA from 1 species